rnacentral:rRNA from 1 species
ACGGGUGAGUAACGCGUGGGUAACCUACCCUGUACACACGGAUAACAUACCGAAAGGUAUGCUAAUACGGGAUAAUAUAUUUGAGAGGCAUCUCUUAAAUAUCAAAGGUGAGCCAGUACAGGAUGGACCCGCGUCUGAUUAGCUAGUUGGUAAGGUAACGGCUUACCAAGGCAACGAUCAGUAGCCGACCUGAGAGGGUGAUCGGCCACAUUGGAACUGAGACACGGUCCAAACUCCUACGGGAGGCAGCAGUGGGGAAUAUCGCACAAUGGGCGAAAGCCUGAUGCAGCAACGCCGCGUGAGUGAUGAAGGCCUUCGGGUCGUAAAACUCUGUCCUCAAGGAAGAUAAUGACGGUACUUGAGGAGGAAGCCCCGGCUAACUACGUGCCAGCAGCCGCGGUAAUACGUAGGGGGCUAGCGUUAUCCGGAUUUACUGGGCGUAAAGGGUGCGUAGGCGGUCUUUCAAGUCAGGAGUGAAAGGCUACGGCUCAACCGUAGUAAGCUCUUGAAACUGGGAGACUUGAGUGCAGGAGAGGAGAGUGGAAUUCCUAGUGUAGCGGUGAAAUGCGUAGAUAUUAGGAGGAACACCAGUUGCGAAGGCGGCUCUCUGGACUGUAACUGACGCUGAGGCACGAAAGCGUGGGGAGCAAACAGGAUUAGAUACCCUGGUAGUCCACGCUGUAAA